rnacentral:rRNA from 1 species
UGAGGAAUAUUGGUCAAUGGACGAGAGUCUGAACCAGCCAAGUAGCGUGAAGGAUGAAGGCCCUAUGGGUCGUAAACUUCUUUUAUAGGGGAAUAAAGUGCGGAACGUGUUCCGCUUUGUAUGUACCCUACGAAUAAGGAUCGGCUAACUCCGUGCCAGCAGCCGCGGUAAUACGGAGGAUCCGAGCGUUAUCCGGAUUUAUUGGGUUUAAAGGGAGCGUAGGUGGAUAUAUAAGUCAGUUGUGAAAGUUUGCGGCUCAACCGUAAAAUUGCAGUUGAUACUGUAUAUCUUGAGUGUACAAGAGGUGGGCGGAAUUCGUGGUGUAGCGGUGAAAUGCUUAGAUAUCACGAAGAACUCCGAUUGCGAAGGCAGCUCACUAGAGUACAACUGACACUGAGGCUCGAAAGUGUGGGUAUCAAACA